rnacentral:misc_RNA from 1 species
AGGAUUGAAAUUAAUAAUAAAUUUUGAAGUCAAAAAUGGCGAAGAAAUCAGAAGUUCUAAAAGAGAACACUCACAAAGAAAAGGCUCAUACCAGUCCAGUAUGGUCGUACUUCAAAGUUUGUGAGGAUAACCCUGUGUGGGCAGACUGCUUGUUGUGUGGGGUGCGUAUGUCACGAGGCGGCACUGCCCCAAACCGUUGUGGCACUACCAACUUGCGACGUCACGUACUGUGUUCUCACAACAUUACCCUACCUUCAGCUAAGCCAGGUGUCAAAUUUGAUGGUCCUCAAAGAAAUCUAAGGAAAAAGCAGUUAAAAUUAAUGCCUUCAGUUUUGAACAAAAGUGCCCCAACAACACACAAGAAAGCAAAGCCUAAAGUAAAAAAGUGUCCUGCACCAUUACAAAAAGUAAAACCAACAAAGGAGCCUGAGGAUAACCUAGUACCUGAAGUUGAACCUGUUAUGUGCAUUAGGUGGAACACUUACCUGAACAAUAUGACAUCAACCCUACCAGACCUGCUGCAUGACGAACAGUUUGUUGAUGUCACUUUAGCGUGCGAAGGCCAAUCUCUCAAGUGUCACAAGAUUUUGCUAGCUGCGUGUUCACCGUACUUCUACGAGCUGCUGAGCGGAGCUGCGUGUAAACACCCCAUCAUUAUGUUCAAGGACUACCACUUCUGGGAGCUUCAGGCUCUCGUAGCCUUCAUGUACAGUGGUGAGGUCAACGUACCUCAGUCCCAGCUGCCGAGAAUACUCAGAGUUGCAGAAGCUCUUCAGAUCAAAGGAUUAGCUAAUCCUUCGCCGAAUGCAGAACCACCUCCUGAUGCUCAUCAGCCUUCCAACGAUCAUCAGAUGUUUAAUGAAACAAGCAAUAAGGAAUCAUCUUUUAGGGAACAAAUAAUGAACAAAAGAAAAAGAAAGCCCUCUCUGCACAAUUGUUGUAAGAAAUUUAAUCCAAAAAAAGUUGUUGCAAAGGGUGAAAUACCACCAGAAGACAUACAUAAUGGAGUAAUGACAUCGGACCAAAGUCUUAACGAUGAGACAACACCUACACCUUCAAGUCCCUUGUUACCCAGUGAAAUGCCAGACAUGCUCAAUGACAUAUUGGGAAUAAAAGAAGAGACGUCAGAUACUACUGAGAGAAUCAGUCUCCCAGAGCCCCAUGCAGUUGGAAGUGUUGAAGGCAUGUUUCCUCUUGAAGACCUGGAAGGAAUGAAGAUGGAAAUAGGAGGAAGUGAACCAGGAAUUGGACGUUUCCUCACCAAUGGACUUCAUGAAGGAGAGCAAUUUGAUUUGUUACCAGAUUUACACCCAGGUAGUUUCACAUUUCAACCACAUAAAACAGAAACCAUAAAAAUCCUGUAUCAUUUUCAAAUUCAGACCCACACAAAAUCAGUUUUCUUUCAUUAUAAUAAAUUUUGUGUAAGUUAAAAAUACAACUUUUAUCUGCAAAUACUGACUGUUAUCAUCAAAUGGAAAAACAGUCAAAUAUUUUUUCUCAUUGGGUGAAUUAAGUAAAGCAUUUGAUACUGUAAGAACAAAGUAUAGAAUUCUUUUAAUAAAUAUAAAUAUUGCUUUAAACAAUAAGUUGUUUCGUUAUAAUUAAAUUACCAAACAAAAGGUUGAAGUAUGUACUGUAUCUGUGUUUCAAUGUAACUGUAAACUCCUCCAAGACUGGCUUCUGGUGUUCAAAAGUAAAAAAUAUAGCUGUGUGUGAAUAUUUUUACUACUUUACUAUAAGGGUAUUUUUAUUAUCUGCAUACAAAACUUAGUAUAUAUUUCACAAAUUGUGCAGGUGUAGUAGGAACUGAACCUGGACUCACUAUCUCAGCAUGAUCUUGAAUUUACAAUGUUCUCUUUGGCAAUAGAUUCAAAUUAUUCUGGCAGGUUAUGUGCCAAUACGCGUUCUGUGACCUUUUGAGUUGUAAUUGUUUAUCUUUGCCUUUUUUCUGCUACUACUAGCACCAUGUUACAUUUUAAAGCCUGCUCUGUUUACAAUAUGACUGCAAGCUGCAAAUUCAUUAAUAUUUUGUUUUGUGAUCGUUUCACCAAAUAAAUUUACAAUUUAAGUGUUUGCCUUUUAUAACAAUAUUAUUUCAAAUAUACAUUUUUAUUUCUAUUCCAUUUUUUACCAAUAUUUUUUAUGCCCGCUACAAAAUCUGUGUCCAUAUAGAAUCGUGCUUAAAUAGUUUGUUUUUAAUUUAAAAGUUGCUAAAAAAGAAUAUAUAUACAGUUUAGCAAUUAUUUUUAUAAUAAGAAUGUAAUUUAAAUAAAUUAAUACAACAAAUUUUAUUCACAUAAAUUUUUAAUUACUAACUUUAAAUUAAAAUCAAACUGUAGGCUGAUUUCUAAACAUAAGGAGUUAACUCUUCCAACUGAAAAACCCCCAUUGCAGUAAUAUAUAUUAGUAGGAAUCCUUUACAUUUAUAUCCAAAUUAAUUGUUAGUUGUGUUACGAGGGUAAUUCGGAAAGUAAGGUCCGUUUUUUUAUUAAAAAAAAACCACAGCAGAUUUUUUCAAAAAACUUGUUUUAUUUUAUUCCUGACAUCAAUUACUAUUUUUCUACAUAAUUUCCAUGUUUGUUUAAACACUUGUCAUAACGAUCUACGAGUUUUUGAAUGCCGGUGUCAUAGAAGUCGGCCGCCGUCGUCGAGUGACCGUACACUUCAUUUAUCUGUGGAUGAAUAUCCGCUGCUGAAACGUUCCUUGCUGUCAAAAACCGUAUCACAGACCGUAUUUCACAGUCGGCGGGACGUUCAAUAGUUUUAAACAUUUUAAAAAGGCACAGAAAACAGCAGACUACAAUGAUUUCACUGCAAAUGGCGUCGUUCUGCGUGCAAUGCAUGCCGGGAGUCAGGCCGCAUGCGCAUUUCGCUGCUCGCUUACUGUUUGUCUGUUUAACGUGAAUCGGACCUUACUUUCCGAAUAACCCUCGUAUAUGCGCCGUUGGAAAAAUUAACCAGGCCAUUGAGGCCAUAUUCAGAGAUGUUACAAAGCAACAGUAAACAAUUGUGAAUAGAGAAUUUUUUAUAUUUACUCAUUAUUAUUACUUAUUUAUAUUUGCUGGAAGUAUGUAUCAGUGGAAAAAAACUUAGUAAUAUGUGUAAGCUUUUCAUUAAAUAAUAACAUUUAACUUUCAUUAGGAAACUACAUUAUCAAUUCAAUUUUUUGCUUUCAGAGAAACAAAUCAAUGAACUAAUUAAAUUAGUUUUAUUUUUGCAACUUGAAUACUAAAUAUUAAAUGAUAUUGGAUUACCUGAACUUAUAAAAGUUCAUCUGUAAAUUAAAAUGUUUCUGCAAAAUGUAGUGAUAUAAACGUUUUGAACAUGCCAUCAUGAGCAAUAACAGAUGCUAAUUUAUUUUCCACAUUUAAAAAUAAUUUAUAUGUUUAAUAAUGUAAAAAUGCCUCUUUGUUGUUACUACAAAGAGACCAAUAAGAAUCAGUUAUCUUUGUUUUAUUCUUAAGGUAUCUGAGAGUGAACAAUAAUUUUGUUAUGUUGUAUGAUUUUUUUAAACAGAAAUAUUUAUUUAUUUAACACGUUAGCUGCCAACCCCAAAAAAUACGUUUUAGUGCUAAAGCGCCAAAUUUUUAAAAGAUAAAUUGUUGUAACCUUUUGUUAUUUUUCUCUUCUUUGGUUACUAAUAAACAUGAUUUUAUGAUUUAUGUGUAUUUAUUACGUUUAUAAAGCGUCGUGCACAUUGGCCCAACAGAGCUUUUUACAAGGCGAUAUAUCACAUAAAUCAUUUACCGUCAGGCCUAUACGCCCGACGCCUGAUUCAGGGAUAUUCCGUUUUGUUGAUGUGCAGCCUGAAUAAUUCCCGCGCUUUAGUUCUCUGUCUGCAAUUACAUCAGCUUAUUUCUAACCCGCCUUUUCCACAUAGCUGAGUGCCAAUUGACGUGUUUUGUUACUGGAAUCCUACAUUGUGUUUUUUUAUAAGUAAUGUUUCGAUAGUUGUGUGCGUGUAUACUAUUGAUCAGUAAAAAUGAGUGGCGAUAUCUUCUUCCGGAUCAAAUCGAACGUAUGAUUGAGAAUCCGUCUUCCCCGGGUGAUUUGUUUGCCGAAAUAAGUGAUGAUGACAGUGUGGAGUCAAUGGUGGUUAGUGAUAUACCGGAUGACACUGAUAGCGACCUAGACUUUAUUCCUGGUACUGAUUCAGAAUAUUACUCUGAUGACAAUCAAGAAUCAAACGUGGAACUUAAUUCUACUGAUGCUAAUGGAACAGUUACAGAUAUCACAGGUACUUCUUUAAUUUCUACAAACGCCAAGGACAAUGAUUUGGGCUGGGAAAUGUUUGAGGGUAAGCAGAAAACGUUUCAGUUCACUCAGACAACAAAAUUUAAUUUUUGAUUACCGAACAACAGAAAACCAAUAGAUUUUUUUCGUCAUUACUUGACAAUAGGCAAUAGGCAAUAGGCAAUACACUUUAUUGACAUGUUCGUUGAGAACAGUACAUGCGUCAUUGGUACAGAUUUCAUGGUUGUAUAAAAAUUACAUAGCUUAAUCUAAGUUACAAGUUUAAAAAUUCACUUUCUGAGUAAAACGGUCUCUCUUGUAGCCAGGCAGUUAAUGCUUUUUUUAAACGUUUGGGUGGUUCAUUCUUUAGGGAUUCUGGAAGUUUAUUGAAGUAGGCUGCUCCCUUAUAUGAUGGUUUCCUGGCUGUGAGGCUCAGGUGGUGUACAGGCAAUGUGAAGUCAAGGACAUGGCGUGUGUGAUACUGGUGAAGGUCUCUGUUUCUAGUUUUUCUUGAGUGUACCGCAUGCAGAAUUACUUCUAGGAUGUACAAGUUUACUACUGUGAGGAUCUUCAAUUUUCUAAAUGCUUCCCGGCAGCUUUCUUGGUAUUGGAGUCCUUCUAGAGCUCUUAUUGCUAGUUUUUGCUGCCUGAGGAUCUUCUCCAUGUUGCAGUUAGCUGUUCCUCCCCAUAGUGCUAUACCAUAUCUGAGAUGUGUUUCAAAUAGUGAAAAGUAGGCUGUUUUAGCUGCGUCUUUAUUGCUAAUCUGUUUAAUUCUGCGUAUUACAAAUAUGCUGGUGCUUAAUUUUUUGCAAAGCUGUUCAGUGUGUGCUUUCCAGGUUAUAUGUUCGUCAAUUAAUAUACCAAGGUGAUUUGUUUGGUUUUUUGUUUCUAGGUCAGUGAUUGGAAGAUGUGUAUUUUUUUGCCUGGUGGAGAAGUUUAUUUGAACAGUUUUAUUGUCAUUUAGCACUAAGUUGUUCGAGAUGCAGUAUUGUUUUGUUGUGAUUAGGGCGCUGCUUAGACUUCUGGCAAGGUGUUGCGUGGUUUUGUUAGAUAUUGUUAUGACAGUGUCAUCUGCGUACAUGGUUGUGUGGCAGAUGCGCUCUAAGUAGUCAGGUAGGUCGUUCGUAAGCAGUAGGAACAGGACCGGGCCCAGCACUGAUCCUUGUGGCACUCCCAUCUGCAUGUCGGCAGUUUUUGACUGAACUUUUUCUAAUAAAUUGUUUUUAGUGUAUUGGAUUUCCACCAGUUGUUUCCUGUUGUUUAGGUAGUUCCAGAACCAAUCUGCAGUUUUAUCUUUUACACCCAUGCUUUUUAGUUUUUGAAGAAGGCGUUUAUGAUUUAAGCAGUCAAAUGCUUUUGUAAAGUCUAAGAAUAAACUAGUAGCAGUGUGGCCCUCUUCCAGUUUGUCUAUGACAUGCUCUAUAAGUUGAAUCAAGGCCGUGGUUGUGGAUCGUCCUUUCAUGAAACCAUGCUGAUGUUUAGUUAGUAGGCUAUUGUGCUCAAGAUAUUGUAAAAGUCUUUCCAGUACUAUUUUUUCAAUAAUUUUGGAGAAGGUGGAUAUGAGUGAUAUUGGUCGGUAGCUAGUCAUGUCGGUGGUUGGUCCUUUUUUGUACUUCGGGUAUACUUUUGCUGUUUUUAGUUUUUCAGGGUAAAUCCCUUGUUGUAAGGAUAUGUUUAUGAUGUGUGUUAGGGGAUCAGAAAUUUCUUCUUUACAGAUUUUUGCUAGUUUUGAUGAGAUGUUAUCUAGGCCAGAUGAGGUUUUUGUUUUCAUGGAGUCUAUUGUUUUCUUCACUUCUUCUUUUGUUGUUGGUUCGAACUGAAAAGUGUUGUUAGUGAGUGGCGGGGGAUUUUGGCUUGUAGUAUUUGUGGCAUUUAAGUGGCUGUUUUGGAGAGUUCUUUGUGCUAUUGAGGAGAAAAAUUUGUUAAAGCAGUCUGCUACUUCUGCAGGGUUGUGAAGUAUUUUUCCAUUGAUUUGAAGGUGUAUUUGGUUGUUCGUUUUGUGUCUGGCUGUCUUCUCUUUGUUUAUUAUUUGCCAUAGGGCUCUGGGCUUAUUUUCUGAGUUACUUAUAUGUGCUGCUACCGACUCUUUUUUGAGCUUUUUGAGCUUUAAGUCGUAGUCCUUUUUCCUGGCUAUUGUCUCUGUUUUGUCUUCUAUUCGGCCUGUGCACUGCUCUUUUUCUAGGGCUCGGAUGUACUGUUCCUUAAGUCUUGUGCAUUCAAUGUCCCAGGUCUGGGUUUUGUUAUGUUUAUUUUUGAAGGUCUUCAGUGGGCAGGUGUUGUCAAGGGUUGCUUGGAUGAUAUUGUGGAAUAUGUUGUAAGCUGCGUCAGUGUUGUUGGAGUGGUACACAGCAUCCCAUUUUUGUUUGGCUAGAGUUGAUUUGAAGUUUUCUAUUGAUUUUUUGUUGAAAUUUCUCUUCUUUGUUUUAAUUUUGGUGGGACAGUGUUUUACUAUGGUUAGUGUGGUUAAUUGUGCUGUGUGGUCAGAGAGGCCGCUUUGGAUUACUGAUGUUUUUACUAAUUCUGGGUUUAUGUUAGUGCACACCCAGUCUAUUGAUUUUGAAGUUUCAUGGGUGAUUCUUGUGGGUGGGAGCUGCAUCCUUACCAAGUCAAAUGCAGCGAGAAGUUCUUUUAAUUUAGUGUUAUCACUGUUCUCCUGCAGAUUGUCGGCAUUAAUAUCACCCAUGACUAUGAUUUUUUUGUAUGUGCUAAGUGCUUUGUCCAGUACAUUUAAUAGUAUAUCGAUGGCAUUGUCUAUCUUUGUGCUUGGCGGUCUGUAGACCCCGAGGACAUUUAUUGUUUCCUUUCUAAGUUUGAUUUCGAAAAGGGCUGACUCACAGAUAAGUUCAGUUUCAUCUGAGCUGGUUUCUAGUAGUUUUACAAAUUUUUGUAGGUCUUGUUUAACAUAGCCUGCCACUCCUCCCUUAAUGUGGUUCUUUCUCGUAAAGCCUCCAACGAGAGAGUAGCCUUCUAUGUUUGUUCUUUCUAGUUUUUCUUGAUUAAGUCCAUGCUCUGUUAAUAUAAUAAAGUCUGGUUUAUUGUGGCUUAAAAAAUGAUUUAGCCUUUCAAUUUUGUUUGACAGCCAGUUAAUAUUCUGGUGAAGGAGAGUGAAUUGAUUAAGAUUUGUGUUUUGUUCUGUUGGUGUAGCUAUUGUUAUGUGUGUUCUUUUCCCUUCAGGCCCGCUUCUAAAAAAGGGCUGUUAUUUGGUAGUGUGGUGUAUUUAGGGUUUUCAGGGGAUGGUAAUUGUCUGUUUGUUUCAGGGUUUAAAAUACUGUUCAGAGGUGGUGGAGGAUGUAGCGAUUUUUGUUUUACAUUUUCCAGUUUUAAUUUUUUAGUUUGCUUAUAGUAUAAGUCAGCUAUGGUUUCACCAGAGUUGAGUUUUGUGGCUGUGAUAGGAGGGGCUAUUGUCACUUUGAAAUUAUUUUUGUAAGUUUCAUUUUCGUGUGUGGAAUUUUCGGUUCGGAGCUUUGUAAUGGUGUGGUCUGUUGUAUGUGACUCUGUAUUUAAGCCUUGGUUCGAUCUGUACUUUGUUAUUUGCAGUGAUGCGCUGUAAACAUUUCUCGUUUUCUGUGUCUUUGAUUUUUUGUGUGGGAUUGGAAAUUCUUCUUCCUGUCCUUGCUUUGUUUGUUUAGGUGUUCUGGAAGUCAUUGGAGUCGGAAGUGUGGCUGUUCUCAGGUCUUCAGUUUUGUCAAAUGUCAUAUCUUCAGUUUUGUUAAAUGUCAUAUCCUGUUUUUGUGUUGUAACACUCAGGUUCUCCAGCUUAUUAAGUCGUAAUUUCAGUUCGGCUAAUUGUGUUAGUACAUACAUGUUUGUAUUCAUGGCCGGUGUUUCAUUAUUGCUUGUCUGUGUUUCUGAGUUUUUCAGUAUUUUUUCAGAUAUUGUGUAUUUGUCCAUUGUGUUUCCCUUUUCAAAGUGAGAUUUGCGUUGCAUUUCUUGAGCCCUUUUUUCUAAUUUGGUAAUUGUUACUUCUUUUUCUUUGUCAUGCUCUUCAAAGUUCUUCUUCAGCUGUUCUUGCAUUUCUUUUUCUUUCACUAGCUGCUUUUCCAGUUCGUAAGCCAGAUUUUCCAAGAAGUUAUUUCUGUUCAGAAUGCGCUCCUUUUCAGUUUCUAGUUGUGCUAUUUGUUCUUCAUAGAUUAGUUCAUUUUUGUUUUCUAGUUCUAAGAUUUUUGCAUUUAGCUUACAGUUCUGUAGGCUAGUUUGGUAUAGGUCUUGUUUAAGUUUCUGGUUUUCAGCAAGUAGCGCACUCCCUACCUCUGCAGCUAAGGUGAGCGAUGUUUCGAGGUCAGCGUUUUCUUGGUUUUCAAAGUUUUUUACUUUGGUUGUAAUUUCCUCUAUUUCAGUAUCAUGGAUUUUAGGGAUAUUUAGGCUCGUGUUAUUUCUUUCUUCCGUCUCUAAGAUGUCGCAUGGGGUGUUUUCAGAUAAUUGGUUCACAGGUGAUUUUGGAAUGUUAAGGCAUUUCUUGCACAUCCAAUUUUUAAUUUCAUUUGUUGUUAGUUUUUUUAGUUGUUUGUCCUUAAUGUUAACACAGCCUCCAUGGUACCAUAGUUGACAUGAGCCAGUGCACUUAAUAGAUGAGUAUUUGACUCCGAUGUCACAGGCACCACAGGGGUAUUUAGAGCCACUAGUUUUAAUUUUGGACAUUUUAAAAGUCAGUUUUUUAGGCUUUGGCUGCCUGUCUGUCGAUUUUUGGUGGACAGGUUUAAUUAAAAUAUGAAUCAAAAAAUCAAAAAAUGAGUCAAAAUAGUUAAAUCAAUCAAGUUAGUAUUUAUUAAAUUUAUUUUAAGUAUUUUUAUACUCCUAUAAAAGAUUAACAAUUUAAAUACACUCAAGCCAGUAAUAUGAGUUUACUAGUAUUUUUACAUAUAUUUAAGGACUGAGUAUAUUUCAAUCAAUAUGUAUGUAUUAUUCUAUAGGAGUGAUGUGGAAGUAAUAUUGUUUUUUAUUUAAUACUUGUCGUUGGUAUUAGAACCACACAAGUCUCAGUGGUAAUCGCAAGUUGUUAUCAGUGGUUAAAGGUCAACUUUCUCUAGCCUUUACAAACUAGAUAGGUUGAUUACUGUUUGUACAGGUGCUUCUCAUGACGGCAUCUGGCUAUUGUAUAGUCCACAUUGUGACUCACGUAGUGCAGUGAUUGUAAAUCUAAGAUAGUUUUUCCAAAUCCUUUUUUAUAUUAGUCAUCUACAAGUUUGUUCAAAAACAUUUUUAUGAAUUUUAAUUUCAAUAUAAAGAACUCACAGUGUUUCCUUGUUAAUUAAUAAGAUUGGAUUAAAUCUUCAGAUACAUGUGAUUUUUAUGCUAGUCUAACCAUACCUUGCAAAUGUACACUUGAUGAAGAUGAGGAAGGAAGAAGAUAAUCAAUUCGUAAUACCGGCCACAUUAUAGCCAAAUGUUCCUAGUCAUCAUGUUUAACUGACCAGUAUAUAAUAACUUUAUAGAUAAUUUUAACUCAGUAUCUAGGAGUUAAUUUUUAAUUGAAAAAAUUACUGAAUUUGCCAUAAUCGAACAUUUUUAGGAUCGUUAAUUAUGUUGUUUUUUUUUUCAAAUGAUUUUCUUCAAUAAUGAACUGAAACAAAGGAAUGUGAAAUGAAAUUAACACAUUCAUGCUCAGUCAACUUCAACAUUUAAUGGCUAACUUAUAUUGAACAUUUUUUGUUUACUUAGGACAGUAAGAUGAGGAAACCCCUCAUUGGAUUUAUAAAAGGGCCCUUGCGCUGCUUCCGGAGUUACAGAGGAUAAUCAGAACAGGUAACAUUAGGGGUAGGGACUGUCUUCUGUCAAGAUCAAAUGAGGGAUAACGGGCAAUAACUCGGUAUUUGUCACUUUGCAAAAAGAGAAGUUUUGCUCUAUUCUAGUCAAAGCAGGCAGUGGAGACCCGGGGGAGACAAUACUUGCUCAUAUGUAUACUAAAAAAAACCUUCAAUAUCAAUGUUACAUGAAAAAUAUUUUCAAAGUAAAAUAGUUGAAAUAAAAUAUUUUUUGUCGUAAAAAAAUUACUUUAUUACAAUUAAUCAAUAAUUAAUAUGUCAAAAAUUAAAUUCUGACAGAAUGCCUUACUGCAGUCGCUUUCCAAAAUAAACACUGCAUUAAACUAUAGAAUUGUUUAUAUGCAUGGAAAGUUUACAAAAUGUGCUAAAACUUUUAUUCAAAGUGUUUUGUUGGAUUGUACAUAUUUUAAAACUAAUGUGGAAAAUUAUAAAAAAAGUGAUAACAUAUUUGUAAUUAUGUAUUAAACCAUCAAGUUUUUUAAAGCAAGUAAUAUGACAUUAUUUGUAGACAAUUGAAUAUGAAAAAUAAAUCUCAAAAGAACAUAUUUGUACAAUUGCUAUUUACAAAGAUAUGACAUGUGAACUAAAAUUUUACAAUGCCUUAUGGGUGGGAGGGAUGCAAGAGUGGUAUGGAUGGAGACUUUCAGUCAUACAAUUGUCUACAUAAUAGUAGUCAAUGGGGAAAAAUUAGCUUUAUAAUAAAUUUUCUUCUAAAAACCAAACAUUGUCUCGAUUAUCAGUUGCUUUAUUUCCUGUGGUUAUCUACGCGUCACAUCCUUAAACUUUUGACGCGAAUGAUGUUUUCUCCAUACACACCGCACAUUCUCUGAUGAAUUCUUACUGCACUAUUUCAUUCGGCAGUAACAAAUGAUGUAGUGACGAAGAUUUUUCAUCGACUAUUGCGCACAUUGCAAACCUGUCAGUGACCGUUAUGGUGAGGGAUUGGAGGUUUAACAGCCCUCAUACCUAUAUAAAAAAGUUUGCUAAUGCUCAGCCAUAUCCCAUGGACAUGCACCAUUAUCAAACUCAAUGUUGCAUAUGUAGAAAUAAAGCUUUGUGGAUAGUUUUAAGUCAACAUGUUAAUUCAUUCUCAAGAUAUUGUGUGGACAGACAGAUAUAAUGUUUUCCAGCCACUCAAAUAAAGUCCUUUCAUGUUUUUAACAUAUUUUUAAUCCAGUGGUGUUUUUUAAUUCGUAAAUCCAUGAAAACCAGUUACUGAAGAAUAUUCAAGAGUUCAGCAAGUGAUAAUAUUGCUGAGCAUGAAUGUACUAAUUUUAUUAAUACAACCCAAUAAUAAAACAACUUGGAUGUGUUCAACCCAAUAAGUUAUAACUACUUAAAUAAAUAUUAAUAGAAGCAUGAUUAUUUUAUUAAGAUGUUUACAUUUGUUUAUUCUAUAUUUUUAUGAAAGUUUUACUUUUAUUGCUGUAUAUAUUUUAUCAGAUAAAUUUCUUGUUACCGUACCAAUAAUUUUUAACGCUAAUAUAACCAAAACAAAAAGUUACCAUUAGUUUUUUCAUUAUAUUUGUUGAGCUAUUAUUGUAAUAUAAAUAUUACAGUUGUACUGGUUUUGUUGUCCCACCACAUGAAAUGUGCGUAAUCAAUCCAAAUUUGAUUAAUUAAAAUAUUUUUAUUGAGUUAAA